UACGUAGGCAGCGAGCGUUGUUCGGAAUUACUGGGCGUAAAGAGUGUGUAGGCGGUGCUCUAAGUUCGGUGUGAAAUCUCCCGGCUUAACUGGGAGGGUGCGCCGGAAACUGGAGUGCUCGAGCGUGGGAGAGGAAAGCGGAAUUCCCGGUGUAGCGGUGAAAUGCGUAGAUAUCGGGGAGGAACACCUGCGGUGUAGACGGCUUUCUGGACCAUUGCUGACGCUGAGACACGAAAGCGUGGGUAGCAAACAGG
rnacentral:rRNA from 1 species